UAGCUCAGUUGGGAGAGCGCCAGACUGAAGAUCUGGAGGUCCUCAGUUCGAUCCUGG
rnacentral:tRNA from 1 species